GAUGAACGCUGGCGGCGUGCUUAACACAUACAAGUCGAACGGAAAGGCUCCUGCUUGCAGGGGUACUCGAGUGGCGAACGGGUGAGUAACACGUGGGUGAUCUGCCCUGCACUUCGGGAUAAGCCUGGGAAACUGGGUCUAAUACCGGAUAGGACCACAUUUUGGAUGGUGUGGUGGAAAGUUUUUCGGUGUGGGAUGAGCUCGCGGCCUAUCAGCUUGUUGGUGGGGUAAUGGCCUACCAAGGCGUCGACGGGUAGCCGGCCUGAGAGGGUGUACGGCCACAUUGGGACUGAGAUACGGCCCAGACUCCUACGGGAGGCAGCAGUGGGGAAUAUUGCACAAUGGGCGCAAGCCUGAUGCAGCGACGCCGCGUGGGGGAUGACGGCCUUCGGGUUGUAAACUCCUUUCGCUAGGGACGAAGCGCAAGUGACGGUACCUGGAGAAGAAGCACCGGCUAACUACGUG
rnacentral:rRNA from 1 species